AUUGAACGCUGGCGGCAGGCCUAACACAUGCAAGUCGAGCGGAGCGGCGGACGGGUGAGUAAGGCAUAGGAAUCUGCCUGGUAGUGGGGGAGAACGUCCGGAAACGGGCGCUAAUACCGCAUACUAUCUGAUGAGCCUAGGUGGGAGUAGCUAGUUGGUGGGGGAAGGGCCUACCAAGGCGACGAUCCGUAACGGGUCUGAGAGGAUGACCAGGCACCCUGGGACUGAGACACGGUCCAGACUCCUACGGGAGGCAGCAGUGGGGAAUAUUGCACAAUGGGCGCAAGCCUGAUACAGCCAUGCCGCGUGUUGGAAGAAGGUCUUCGGAUUGUAAAGCACUUUAAGUUGGGAGGCGUUACCAUCCGAAAAAGCACCGGCUAACUUCGUGCCAGCAGCCGCGGUAAUAC
rnacentral:rRNA from 1 species